rnacentral:misc_RNA from 1 species
AACUGAUACUACCUGCGGGAACCUGCGGAGGGAUCAUUACAAGUGACCCCGGUCUAACCACCGGGAUGUUCAUAACCCUUUGUUGUCCGACUCUGUUGCCUCCGGGGCGACCCUGCCUUCGGGCGGGGGCUCCGGGUGGACACUUCAAACUCUUGCGUAACUUUGCAGUCUGAGUAAACUUAAUUAAUAAAUUAAAACUUUUAACAACGGAUCUCU